UUAAAUUUUUUUUUUUUUUUUUUUUUUUAGUUUUAGUUUUUUAAUUUUUUAUUUAAUUUUAGCUCCCCCACUAUAUUACAAUUCCAAGGGACGGUGAUAAAGAAUGAACUGGGGGGGGAGCAUUAAACAUUAAUGAUCCUCUAUUCACAUGGAAGCUCCUUUGGACAAAGAGCUGCCUACCAACCAGGGUAAGUCAACUUUUCAAGUCUGAUUUCUGAGGAAGAAACUGCACAACAGGUCAUCUGAUGACGUUUAACUGGUCAUCUGACAAAGGGGAUCUGAAAUUAUAAAAAGGCUUCUCGCAAGAGCUAAAAAAGAGAGAGGAAGAAGACGACUAGAAGCAGAAGUGAAAGAAGACUCCAUGCUUUGGUGAAAAAGCCAUGUACUGGAGAAAGUUGUGAAAUUUAUGCUAAGAAGAGUUUAUUGUUGCCGGGACACCUUGAGGGUCUCUGAUCUAAGGCCAAAGCAGCAGAGAUGAAACUAAGGCAACUGAACAUACUCCUUCCAUUCUUCUUUACUGACACCUUUGAGCUCCUUGACUGGCAUCUCUGCCUAGAGACCACCAGCAUGCAAUGGAUCUUGAUUGGGUCAGGUCGGAGAGAAGAAAAACCGGACAGAGAAGACACCAACUAGACACAACGUGAAGGGCCUGAUCUACACAAUGUGAACCCUGAUCUACACAUAGCUGAUAGACUAGCAUCCUAAAAGGUAACAGACUUUGUGUUCUCCAGUAUCACUGAGGUGUGAACGAGCAUUGUGCAAUUAGAGCAGUUUUAAUACGUUAUUUCUUGUCCAAACUCGCAAUACCAAAGAAUCAAGAAACAUGGUGAAAGACACAACA